GCCUCGGUGGUGUAGUGGUAGCAUGCGUUCCCGGUAUGGAUGAAACGCGAGUUAGACUUCCGUUUGAGACC